AGAGUUUGAUCAUGGCUCAGGACGAACGCUGGCGGCGUGCCUAACACAUGCAAGUCGAGCGGAGAUUGCAGCAAUGUAAUCUUAGCGGCGGACGGGUGAGUAAUGCGUGGCAACCUGCCUUGACCUGGGGGAUAACACAGAGAAAUUUGUGCUAAUACCGCAUAACGUAUGGAGAUCACAUGGUUUUCAUACCAAAGGAGCAAUCCGGGACAAGAUGGGCCCACGUCCGAUUAGCUAGUUGGUAGGGUAAAGGCCUACCAAGGCGACGAUCGGUAGCCGAACUGAGAGGUUGAUCGGCCACAUUGGAACUGAGACACGGUCCAGACUCCUACGGGGGGCAGCAGUGGGGAAUAUUGCUCAAUGGGGGAAACCCUGAAGCAGCAACGCCGCGUGAAGGAUGAAGGUUUUCGGAUUGUAAACUUCUUUAAUCAGGGACGAAUCAAUGACGGUACCUGAAGAAUAAGCCACGGCUAACUACGUGCCAGCAGCCGCGGUAAUACGUAGGUGGCAAGCGUUGUCCGGAAUUACUGGGUGUAAAGGGCGUGUAGGCGGGAGAAUAAGUCAGACGUGAAAACCCAUGGCUCAACUGUGGGACUGCAUCUGAAACUAUUCUUCUUGAGUGCUGGAGAGGAAAGCGGAAUUCCUAGUGUAGCGGUGAAAUGCGUAGAUAUUAGGAGGAACACCAGUGGCGAAGGCGGCUUUCUGGACAGUAACUGACGCUGAGGCGCGAAAGCGUGGGGAGCAAACAGGAUUAGAUACCCUGGUAGUCCACGCUGUAAACGAUGGAUACUAGGUGUAGGAGGUAUCGACCCCUUCUGUGCCGGAGUUAACACAAUAAGUAUCCCACCUGAGGAGUACGGCCGCAAGGUUGAAACUCAAAGGAAUUGACAGAGGCCCGCACAAGCAGUGGAGUAUGUGGUUUAAUUCGAAGCAACGCGAAGAACCUUACCAGGUCUUGACAUCCCACGAAUCAUCUGGAGACAGACGAGUCCUUCGGGACGUGGAGACAGGUGGUGCAUGGUUGUCGUCAGCUCGUGUCGUGAGAUGUUGGGUUAAGUCCCGCAACGAGCGCAACCCUUGUUGUUAGUUGCCAGCAUUCAGUUGGGCACUCUAGCAAGACUGCCGGCGACAAGUCGGAGGAAGGUGGGGACGACGUCAAAUCAUCAUGCCCCUUAUGACCUGGGCUACACACGUACUACAAUGGCCGUAACAGUGGGAAGCGAAGUGGCAACAUGGAGCCAAUCCCCAAAAACGGUCCCAGUUCAGAUUGUGGGCUGCAACCCGCCCACACGAAGUCGGAAUUGCUAGUAAUGGCAGGUCAGCAUACUGCCGUGAAUACGUUCCCGGGCCUUGUACACACCGCCCGUCACACCAUGAGAGUCUGUAACACCCGAAGUCAGUAGCAUAACCGCAAGGAGUGCGCUGCCGAAGGUGGGGCAGAUGAUUGGGGUGAAGUCGUAACAAGGUAACC
rnacentral:rRNA from 1 species